rnacentral:rRNA from 1 species
CCCGGGCCUUGUACACACCGCCCGUCACACCACGAAAGUCGGCUCGACCCGAAGUCGCUAACCCAACCGCAAGGAGGGAGGCGCCAACGGUCUGGUCGAUGAUUGGGGUG